CACUCUACUCACGGAGAAGCAGACGAGAAGAAAGCGCAACACUUUCAUUGUGCCCUAUUUUUUGCUUUAUUCGUGGUCGCACUUGUCGUGCGCCGCAUUCUGCAGACACUUGCCUACAUUCUGUCGUUGCUGCCUGCUGCGUGGGCACGUACCCACAGACAAACGCUCGACGCGCGCGCGCAGGUCCACACCCUCCCUCUCACUGCUUUCGGUCAACUGGCUUGCGCUCUUGGCUUACCCCCACCUUUCCUUCUGUGAUUGUCUCCUUGCGCCUUUCGUUUCCUUGCCUCCCUGGCAGCUUGGGCGAAACCGCGCGUGUCAUCUUGCAGGGCUCUCUGGGCGGUCGCGUUGAAGGCGCAGCUAGUCGCAGUGGCUUCUCCAUGGAGCGUGACGUGCCCGCUAAAUGCCGUCGUCGUCGUCGCCGCAUCGCUACACGGUGUCGCUCUACCGUUACGACUUGACACAUGGCAUGGCACGCAACCUCGGCCCGAUGCUGAUCGGGCGGGAGCUCGAGGGCAUCUGGCACACUUCCAUCGUCGUGUACGGAAAGGAGUACUACUUCGACGGAGGUGUCGGCAUUGUCAGCGACCCGAAUCCUGGCCACACACGCUUCGGCCAGCCGUAUCGCACCGAAGUGCUUGGGCAGACGACGAAGCGAGAGGAGGAGUUCUGUGCGUGGACACAGCAGCAGCACCGCGCCGGCUUCGGCCCCAACGACUACCGCAUUCUCGACAACAACUGCAACAGCUUCUCGGACGCGGCGAGCAUGUGCCUCCUGGGGCGUCACAUUUCACAAGACGUGCUUGAAAUGAUCCCCACGUUGCUCUCCACUCCCGUAGGGCAGAUGCUACGGCCGAUGCUGGAGCAGGCCACGUCCGGCGGUGCAGGCAUUGCCGCCGCUGGCAUGCUCGCUCCUUUCAGCUCUUCCCUUGCGUCGCCGCCGAUGACUGGCGGCGGCGACGCGUGUGCUGGGCUGCUGAGCACUCGUCAGACGAUGACAGAGGCGGACGAGGAGGACUUGAUGGUGGCGCAGGCGAUGCUGGAGAGCAAUGAGACAAUCGCGGACGGGCACCUCAGCCCCGCGGAGGCGUUUGAGAAGACCAUCAGCGGCGCCACGCUACUGCGGACGGUGAUACUGAAUAUUUGCGAGCACCCCAGCGAUGCCAAGUAUCGGGCACUGUCUACCGAGAGCACGGCUUAUCAGACAAAACUGAAGCCACUCGAGACGUAUGGGGUGACGGAGCUGCUGCGCAUUGCAGGCUUUCGCCGCCGUCCGCACAGCAGCGGCGCCGGCGGUGAGCAGUGGUUCCUGUCGGACAGCGAUGGCAGCGGAGCUGUGCUGCGUCGUGUGGCGGAGGUUCUCGAGGCAACCAUCGUGAACAUCCAGGCCGCUGCCGACGAAGCGGCCAAGAGGCGAGGCAGAGAGAAGAGCGCAGGCGUCGCAAACAAAGAGGCGGUGAGCGGCUCCUCGGCUCAUUCGCCAUGCCCCCCUCCUCCGCCUGCUCUUGCAUCCGGUGCUGCGCCAACAGCGGCUCAUGCCGAGGCACCGCUCAAGGCGCCCUCGCCAGCGACGGCGAAGGACGGCUUCGAUGCGCACAAGAGAAAAUUUGCCAAGUUCUGCCUGCCGCCGUUUCCGGAGGACUGGAUCCCGCUCCCCGUUGGCAGGGAAUCAGGGGCCCCACUCUUCUCUAUCCGCUGCCGCGUCACGAGCACUUCGGAGUGUCCUUACUGCUUUGGCAAGUGCCGCCUCUCCGAAAAUCUGGAGCACCUGAAGGCUUACUACUGCAGCAGCGACGGCAGAGAAGUUGAGAUAUACGGCGGGUACGAGGUUCUCUGCGUGCGGCGUGGGGAGGAAAAGGCGCUGACGUGGGUGCCGGCGCCGUUGGCGUUCGCGGCGCAAGCUCAGCACAGCACACGGUUCAUUUUCACGGCCUACGGUCACUUUGGUGUUGGUCGGGCCGAGUAUGGAGGCGGCGUGCACCCCGGCGUCAUGGAGCCGUCUGGCCGCUGCGUGGUGCCCUACGGCGGACGCGCCGUCGUCGUUACCAACGACGCCGAGGUACUCUGCGAGACGGCCAGGCUGCCGCCGGCGGUGGUGCGGGAGUUAAAGAGGCUUGAGCGCGGUACGCAUUUGGCCGAGCUGUUGCGUGCCGCUAGCGGCCAGCCAAUCGACUCCUUUGACGAGCUCCUGCACACAUGGCAGCCGCCGACGUUUUACAUGAAGCCGCGCUCACUGCGCCCGCACACUGUUCUCGGACCGACGUCGGUAGCGUGGGGUGUAACAGAAGACGCCGCCAAGAGGAGUGCGGUCGACGUGGCAGGCCGAGAGCCUUCCCCGGCUAUCAGUGAGUCAGCGGCAUACAGCGCGUUGCCGCUGGCGCCGCGCUUGCUUGUCUGCCACGACAUGGGCGGAGGCUACACGCGCGCCGACCGCCGCGUCUUUCUUUGCGAAGGCGCGCCAGCAUCUGCCACCGCAUCUGCGGAGGGGAUGGGCAAGGAUGGUAGGACUACUCCGUACGUGCGCCUGGAGACCGUGGAGGGCGCGUACACGGUGAGCUACUGGAAUCGCGUUGACUACUUCGCGUACUUCUCGCAUAGGCGGAUUAGCGUGCCGCCACGUGAGUGGAUUGAAAAUGGCCACAGCCACGGUGUGCCAGUGCUUGCUACCCUGAUCACCGAGGGGGACGGCAGUGUUGCGGACCUGGAGCUGCUCUUAACCGAUGCGAGGCGCAUGGCGGCCAUCAUUGCUCGCCUGGUGGACGUGUGUGAUACCUACGGCUUCGACGGCUAUCUCCUCAACAUCGAAAGCCCACUCCCACCGAACAUGGCGAAGCGCCUCGUCGUCUUCUGCAGAUUGCUCCGCAAACAGCUGAACCGCCCCUCUUCGGCGGCGCGUGGCGCACCAGCUGCGGCGGUGGCCGCCGAUCGCCUCGUUAUCUGGUACGAUGCAGUCACCAUUGAGGGAAAGCUGAUGUACCAGAACGCACUCAACUCCCACAACAAGCCGUUCUUUGACGUUGGUGAUGGCAUCUUCACCAAUUACUUCUGGGAGCCAAUGCACCUGGCGCAGACCAAGACGAUCGCCGGCAACCGAGGCGCCGACGUCUACGUCGGCGUGGACGUCUUUGGCAGGGGCAUGUAUGGCGGGGGCGGCUACAACACGCACGUUGCUGUCGCCGAAGCCGCGCACGCGCGCUUGUCGGUGGCGCUUUUUGCCCCUGGCUGGACGAUGGAGUGCGAGAGCAACGGCAGGCGCGACAGUUUUCAGAAGGCGGAAGGCCGGAUGUGGUUCCCUAUGCAGGAGAAGUUCUCCUAUCACGCCCGGAUCAUCUGGCCCACAGGUGCCACCACAGGUUCCCCGCAACCGUCCACCACGGCUGACGCGCGGGAUACACACCGCGAGCAGGCGCUGUGCGUGUGGACUUCAUUUCAGUCCGGUGUGGGCUACGACUUCUACGUCAACGGCCACCGUGUGACCGGAGGCAAUGCCGCUGCUUCCGUGGUGGGCACCAGCGGCUGGUGCGAGGUUUCUGGUGCGCACGACCUCCCUCCGUUUCUCUUCGAAGCGCCUCCGUCGGUCCCGCCCAGUGGAGCGCUACCGCCUGCCGCGCGAGGGACGGCGUCGGGCCACCGUGGCUCCUUUGCCGCAGUUCCGAUUCGGCUGCCCGCGACACCGGUCAAGGGCAACGUGCAGGACCCUUUCGUUCGUGCGGAGUGGCGCUACGACAAGGCGUGGUUUGGAGAUUGCCAUCUCGCUUGUUUCGUGCCUCCAAUGGAGGCAGCCGAGGUGGUACGGUGGUACGUGCGCGACGCGCUGCCGGCGACUUCCUUAACCGAACUCCACAUUGAAAUCGUGUUCGACUGGACGGACGAAACCGAGGAACGGGCGGGAGUGCAACGUGGACUGCGGCUGGGACUGUUUUCCUUUACACGUGGCGCCUUCGAGAUAUGUAUCUGGGAGACGGCUGCGGUGGCGGCCGCGGUGGAGGUGGAGGGCGUCAGAGGCCUCGUCGUUCGUGCGUCGCUAGCGAGAGAGGGUGGGAGUGAGGGAGAAGGCAACCCGACACGGGCCACGUCGGGGUGGGAGCGGGUGCACUAUCAGCUGCGCAACACCUCAACGGAGCCGCUUCACUUGACGUCUAUCUCCGUUGCCAACGGAGACCCCCGCCGAACGCUGAACUGCGGUGUGGGUGGCGUCGCCAUCUCUCACUGGCGUGCUGGGACGUCGACCGUGGCCGCUGGCGCAGCCGCGCAGGCAACCUCGCCAAGGCGACACUCCGUCUUGUGGGCUCAUGGGCCGCAUUCCUGGACGCCCCACCACACCUUCCGCACGCGAAAGGCCUCCGAGCAAGUGCUUACUCUCGAAGGCGCGGACGACGUGUUUGCGCGGCUUCGCGCCAAGCACGGGCUUAACGCGUCUAUCGUUGUGUUUGCUAGCGUCUCCAGCGCGACGGCGGGGCUUGGAGUGAGCGACUCUACGAGCACAGAGGCAGAAGAUGAGCAGGCUGCGGCUGCGGUUCCGCCAGGCAGAAGACGCCGCGAGGAGUGCCACACAAUGUACGUGGGGAAGUACUCUAUCCAUCCUUAUGUUGCCGCCACCUACGAGGGCUCCCUGCUCAUUCCGGUGUCACUACCAUCCGGCGUCACUGUCGAAGAGGUGGAGUACUACACCGUGCAAAAUGAGUGCUGAAACAGGCCGUUAUGCACAGGGUGUUUUUUAAGAGAUCGCGAAGCCCCUAUACACCGCCGUUUCUUAUUACGACGACCACAUGCAUGCCCGAGCCGCAUCUUCGCGCUGCUACUACUGCCUGCAGGGGCGGCUCUCUCGUAACUUAUGGCGUGCGCGACGCGCUGCCCCGCGCGCGCAUCUCUAUAUUUCGUGCGUGCGUGCAGUCGUGCAUCUCGACUUUCCACUCUCAACACGCACAACGCGCCGUCUCACGUGCAAUCGUGUUCUCUUUUCUGUUACUACUUGCUUAUUUGCUGGCUAUGCUUACAUCUACUUUCCACUGCUGCAGAUCUGUGCCGUUGUGCUCCUCGUUUCUCUCUCUCUACGUUUUCCUCCCGUCAUUCAGCAGUGACGCCCCCUCCCUCUCCCGCCCUGCCUCGCGAGCCUGUGUCAGCCCUUCUUAUGGGGUGCGGUGCUGGGAAGAACCGAAACACUGCAAAAAAAAACAACAACAACAUCGAACGCGAAGCACAGGUGAUGAGAACAUGUAGCGCUUUCUUGGCUGGUGUGUCUGUGCUUGUAUGUGUGCAUGUUUGUCUGUGUGUAUGUGUCUGUGCCGUGGAUGAGGCGACGAUAAAAUACAAACGAUAAAGGAAAGCAGAACAGCUACCGCAGCACACACGAAACGCACACAUACCCGCACGCAACGCGAAAGUAAAAAUAGAAGAGGCAGGUGGGGUGGUGGACCUAUCAUCGAUGAGAGACGCUUCUCAUUCUCUUCCGUUCUCCGCCUCUCCCCUCCUUGCGGUGCGUGGUGGACGCGCCACUGCGAUAGUGAUCGGCUCACUUUGUUACACCCCCUCCUCCUGAUCUCGCUCCGAGCCGCUUUUAUGUUUUCUUACACUUGCUGCUCGACUUGGACGCUCGCCAUUGCCGCUGAUGAUCAUCCGGCUUCUCCGUUAUGUGGACGUUUUUCUUCCGUGCAUAUUACCACCGCCCGCACGAUGCCCAACUGUUAGUGAUUCGAUGCAUGUGUCGCUGCGCUACGACAGUAGCCGAGUUUAAACAUGCUCGCUGACGUGCCCGCAGCGCGCACACCAACACACUCUUACUUGGUGACCACGAGCCCCUAUACGGAAAGCGGCCGGCAGCCAAACGAGCGACACUCAAGCAAGCGGCGGUGCGAAGGACACGAGCAAGAAAAAAAAAAGAAACGACAGAUGCGCAUGCCCGACGUCUUUGACAUCCAGGCCUGCGCCAGCGCAGGAGAGAAGCCGAAAAAGGAAACAAACAAACGGGAACGCAGCCCACCCUCUCUUGCUGUCCUUUUUUUUCGCGCAUACCCCCCCCCUUUCCGCUUUC
rnacentral:misc_RNA from 1 species